rnacentral:rRNA from 1 species
CAGCCGCCACGGUAAUACAGAGGAUGCAAGCGUUAUCCGGAAUGAUUGGGUGUAAAGCGUCUGUAGGUGGCUUUUCAAGUCCGCCAUCAAAUCCCUUGGCUCAACCCUGGACAGGCAGUGGAAACUACCAAGCUGGAGUACGGUAGGGGCAGAGGGAAUUUCCGGUGGAGAGGUGAAAUGCGUUGAGAUUGGAAAGAACACCAACGGUGAAAGCGCUCUGCUGGGCCGACACUGACACUGAGAGACGAAAUCUAGGGGAGCAAAUGGGAUUAGAUACCCCGGUAGUCCCUGUCUCUUAUAC